GAGUCAAAGACAUUAGGCUAUGGUCUGAUGUCAAAAACUCCAAAUAAGGAUGCUUGUCGAGAAUUCGCUGAAGAAUUCCACCAAUCUGUUCUCCUGUCCACACAGCGGAAAGCUUUGCAUCGAGAAAUGAAAAUGGGAAGUUUGGAAUGUCUAUCUGGAGGGAGUGAUGCUGGCGAUGGGGAACAGCCAGUUCCACGCUGGCCAGGACUUAGCUCUGUCAUCCAGUCCUACCAGAAUUAUCUCUCAGAACAAAUUACAGAGAAGAAAGUUUUGCAAGAAAAGUACAAGUUGCUUCAAUCCCAGAACAGUCACUUGCUGAUUACUGCCAAGUCCCUGCAGCAGAGAGAGUCUGAGAUGCUCAAUUCAAAGAAGGAAAUGAACGAGAAAAGAGUGGAAACUCAAAGUGCAAUAGACAAACUGAAAAGGUGCCUGAAGGAUCUACACUAGUGAUCUCUUGCAGUGAGGGACUCGUUACUGAUCUCGUGGAACGUGGUCAGGGAGGAAUUCUGGGACUGCAUCAAAUGGAAAAAUACUGUAGUGAUGAAUAAAAGAAUUGGAUGGCCAAAAUGUGACUUAAGCCAUUGUGUAGGGGAAAAAAGUGCUGGUACUCAAAAUAUGACGGGAUUUCUUUAUGUGGAGAAUUGAUGUGCUGACAAGGAAACAUCAUUGUUUCUGUUAGAGACAGCAGAACUCAGACAUCUCUCUGUACUGCAUACAAUGUUUUUAUUUAUUUGUUUUUUUAUGACACAUAUUAAUCAGUUUUGUGAUUAUGUAGCAUUGUACUCAAAGAUUUCUACAUGACCAUUCUUGGUCGCAUUUCCUUUUAUAGAAUAUUAUACCGGUAUGCUAUUUUUUGAAAAUGUCUCUAAGUUGUCCUUUUUAUUUUAUAGCUUUUCUAUCUUCUUCAACAGAAGAGUCUGUAUUCUCAUCAUGGCAAAAUUUUGUGUAUUAAUUUCUAUUAUGGAAUAGAUUGCAGUGGCAAGAAUGCAUUUUUACUGCUGAUAUGACCAAUAGUGCUGAUCUUAGUCAUGGUUUGUAAAAUGCUGUAACUUUACAUACAGUGCUGUACAGAAGAAAUUCACUUAAAUUUAUGGGCAUUUCUUUAAAAAAAUAUUUUACCUCACUGACAAUCAGAAGUGAAUAUAAAAAAAGAUUCCAUAAUAUAAAAAUUUAACCUGCGAAAUAUGUUACUAAAAUCUAUUCAACUGAGUGAAAUUUAACCAUGUUUUUGAAUUACUGAGAGUUUAUUGUAGGGGAUACAAUAUAAUAAUGAUCUGUUUUUACUGCUGGGUUUAUUUUAUGAACGCUGAUUACCGAGAUGUACUGAGAAUGAGGCUUUCUAGUAAAAUCUCUGUCAAUCGCGUUAAUUUUUGCUUAACAUUGGGUGUAAUCAUCUAUUAGUUUUUAAUUCUCACUUGUUCAUGCUCAUGCCACCAUAUAUAUAUAUAUAUACCAACAAAUGUAUUUACUAUUAAGAGUGAACAAAAAAAUAAAAAUCAAAGAAAAUGU
rnacentral:misc_RNA from 1 species